AGCUUUAGGAAAUUGAUUUAAAGUUAGACCUGCCCAAUGUGUGGGUUGAAUGAUCUUAAAAUUAUUAAUGGCCGCGGUAAUUUGACUGUGCUAAGGUAGCGUAAUCAGUUGUCUUUUAAAUGGAGUCAGGUAUGAAUGGAGUCACGGAAUUUAGCUGUCUCUAUACUAAUCUAUUGAAAUUACUAUGUAGGUGAAAAAGCCUAUGAACAGAUAAGGGACGAGAAGACCCUUAGAGUUUUUUUUAAAGUAAAAUAUAUUUUUACAAUAAUUUUGUUGGGGCAACAUAGGAACAAAGAAUAACUUCCUAGAAAGAAUUAACCGAUGUUAAUAAAUUUGUAUAAACUACCUUAGGGAUAACAGCAUAAUUUAAUUUAUAAGUUUGUGACCUCGAUGUUGGACUAGGAAACUUAAAGACUAGCAGUUUUUAAGAAAGGUUCUGUUCGAACUAUAAAUCCU
rnacentral:rRNA from 1 species